UGAUGAAGAACGCAGCGAAAUGCGAUAAGUAAUGUGAAUUGCAGAAUUCAGUGAAUCAUCGAAUCUUUGAACGCACAUUGCGCCCGCCAGUAUUCUGGCGGGCAUGCCUGUUCGAGCGUCAUUUCAACCAUCAAGCCCUGCUUGCGUUGGGGUCCUGCGGCUGCCCGCAGGCCCUGAAAACCAGUGGCGGGCUCGCUAGUCACACCGAGCGCAGUAAUACAUCUCGCUUUGGGCGUGCGGCGGGUUCUUGCCGUUAAACACCCCCUUUUUACCAAGGUUGACCUCGGAUCAGGUAGGAAUACCCGCUGAACUUAAGCAUAUCAAUAAGCGGAGGA
rnacentral:misc_RNA from 1 species